rnacentral:rRNA from 1 species
UACCAGCACCCCGAGUGGUCGGGACGAUUAUUGGGCCUAAAGCAUCCGUAGCCGGCCUUACAAGUCCCCCGUUAAAUCCAACUGCUUAACAGAUGGGCUGCGGAGGAUACUAUAAGACUAGGAGGCAGGAGAGGCAAGCGGUACUCAGUGGGUAGGGGUAAAAUCCGUUGAUCCAUUGAAGACCACCAGUGGCGAAGGCGGCUUGCCAGAAUGCGCUCGACGGUGAGGGAUGAAAUCUGGGGGAGCAAACCGG